CCUCAGCUCCCUGGCACAGCCCCCAGACUCUGCUCCAUCAGCUCCCAGCCCAAAGCGUGGCAAGAAGGUGCUGAGCCCUGUGUGGAGCACUCGGAAAGGGGCAGGCUCGGCCACAGCCGGGGCUC